rnacentral:rRNA from 1 species
UACGUAGGGGGGCUAGCGUUGUCCGGAAUCAUUGGGCGUAAAGCGCGUGUAGGCGGCCCGGUAAGUCCGCUCUGAAAGUCGGGGGGCUCAACCCUCGGAUGCGGGUGGAUACUGGCGGGCUUGAGUGCGGAAGAGGCGAGUGGAAUUCCUGGUGUAGCGGUGAAAUGCGCAGAUAUCAGGAAGAACACCCGUGGCGAAGGCGGCUCUCUGGUACGUGACUGACGCUGAGACGCGAAAGCGUGGGGAGCAAACAGG